rnacentral:rRNA from 1 species
UACGAAGGGGGCUAGCGUUGCUCGGAAUCACUGGGCGUAAAGCGCACGUAGGCGGAUCUUUAAGUCAGGGGUGAAAUCCUGGAGCUCAACUCCAGAACUGCCUUGAUACUGGGAUCUCGAGUCCGGGAGAGGUGAGUGGAACUGCGAGUGUAGAGGUGAAAUUCGUAGAUAUUCGCAAGAACACCAGUGGCGAAGGCGGCUCACUGGCCCGGUACUGACGCUGAGGUGCGAAAGCGUGGGAGCAACAGGG